AAAUGUGACAGGAAGUUGAAAUGAACCCUGCGCCCUUCCAGAGUUACCUGACAGUUAGCUUACCAAAAGAAAAAAAAAAAAAAAAAAGACAUGGGAAAAGGUGUAUAUUUGAUGAAGACUGACACAGUGUAUGGACCAACAAAAAGGAGGCCAGAGGAGACAGUUGGAACCGAGGUGAGCGCAACAAGUGGGGAGAGUAAGUUCAGCGAUGACAGACGUCCAUAGGUGCCGGGGAAGCUAACACCUCGGCGGCUAGCAUCGGUCAGGUGCAGCCGGGCAACCCUUCUCCUUCUCCUCCUCCUCCUGCUGCUGCUCUGCCAGGACCACUUGGCUACUGUCAGCCCCGACUCUGGAUGAUACUGUGAUGGACAAACUUAGACCAAGUAUACCUCCAGAGUUACUCAGUCCACGUUUGCAAAGGAAAUGCACUCAUUGGUGAGUGCGUGAUUUCAGGCGGGACUGGCUGGAAUGAAGUCGGACGCUGGAUGUUAUUUCAAAGGUUAGAUUGUCUGAAAAAAAAAAAAAAAAACAACUUUGAAGACUUAUGCUUCACACGGCGAGGGCCCAGUUAGCGCAGCUGGCUCUCAGAGACCUUACCUGCAAGUGCACUAAUGACUGGAACCAUAUUGGACGCCUGCAGCUGUUUAAAUGGUGAGACAGCUCCACAAAAUGACAAGGUGACAUAGCAGCUACAGAGCCCCAAAAUGGCAUGUCAGUGAGACACAUCAUAUCUGCUAUUAGACAGAAAGCCACCAAAGCUUGACUGACACUGUAGAAGGUCAGCAACGUGCUCAGUACACGAUGCUACAUUUCAGCACACAGACACAACAUGACACGUGGCAGAGGUCCUCCGGCUGGCAGAAAAUCACUUCACCUCGAGGAAAGCGGAUGCGGCGCGGUGGGACAUUGCCAUGGCAGGAGCUAACAUUUGGCCUGUUGGAGCUCUGUUAGGUCGUUAGAAGUUAUCCGGUGCCCGGCUUAGAGUGAUUCGUCUCAGGAUUUAGGGGAUCUGAAGUCAAAGAUGGAGAUAUACACAGGCUUGUGACUGACAACUGGAUUUUUAAACAUGACACAGCAAAUUGGGUUUUUACACUCAGACUCCGGUGCUGGCAUCAUGAUUGAGGUACUAGUUGUUAUUACUUCUGUAUUGGCAGGUUUACUUUCCCCAAAAAACAUUUUUGCUCCCCAUCUGUCUCUCGGUCUGUCUGUCAGACAAAGCCAACUAUUUGUCUCCGAGUCUUUUCUUUUCCUACUUAAAUAGUGAAACUGCUGAGUGCAUUUGAUCAUUCUCAACAAUAAAAAGAAAGAGGAGGAUAGGAAUUAAUUAUCCAUUACUGCAUAGAUUUGAAGAGCAUGGUUCAAGGUUCAAGGCAGCUCUCUCUUUUUUGCUUUCCACCAUCACGGGAGUUUGAAGCCCCUGAAAAUUUCAGAUGAUCUGUAACAUUUAAAUUUGCGUGAGACCUUUGAAAUUACUGCAAAGCAAAGGACUGCUCAUUUUAAAAUCAAGUUGAAUUUUUUCCCUUUGCAAACUUUUUCCUCCCUCAUCACACACGUCUUCAUUUGAAGUUCUGCAGUGCAGUGGAGAUGCGCCUACUUGUACUUAAGUGUCUCUGGUGGAGCCAACUCCACAAACCAAUACUAAUGCUUCCUGGAGCUGCAGAGCAUAUAGUCCAUGUGCAUAUAUUCCUCGAUGACAAAAGAGAGCAGAAAUAGGUUAUUAAUUCGGUCAUACAUUUUUCAGUUCCAGACUCAUGCAGUCUGCACCUACAGCUGAUGGAGACUCUCCCCAGAGGCCCCAGGCUAGAGUUGUUCUAACACUCUUAGGUGUUAUCCUGGCAUCCUUUCAAUGUGAGUUUCUGCAUUGCUGAGUAGAUUUAAACACCUCCUGUCUCUAUUGUCCCUCAAAACAUUCUACAGCUACGUGGUACAGUAUGUAAGUGUAUAGUAUUUAUAUUUUUCAGUGAAACAAUAGUGUAAGGGAGUCUGUAAAGGAAAGACUUGAGACGAUGAAGACUUUAAGGUUAAAUUUAGUUUUCAGAUGUUAACAUAGUCAGGCCUUCAGGGAUAUGCCUGUCGUUCAUUUAUAUUUCUCUUAAUGUCUACAAAUCCCAUAAAAAGACAAAAAACUGACAGUGUGUUAUUCUGUCUCUCAAUACUGUCUGACUGGUUCCUACUGAAGAAACAAAUAUUUAAAGGAAUAGUCCUAUAUUUUUGGAAAUAUGCUUGUUCACAUUGUUGCCCAGUGUUAGAAAAGAAGAUGGAUACCACUUCCUCUCGAUAUGAAGCUGCAGCCAGCAGCUGGUUAGCGUAGCUUAGCAUUAAGACUGGAAAUGGGUGGGAAACAGCUUACUUUUGCAUGCAACCGCUCUUUAAUUUAAAGAAAAGGCUUAAUAUUUUCCUAAAUCAACUGGAGACGGUUGUAUUUAGCAAACAUUACUCAAACAGUAAAAUAGUGCAUUUAUUUGGGGCAAUGUCUGUCACUUUUUCAAAAAGUUAAAGUUGAAUGGUUUCAAACUCCUUCCAUAUACUGUAUCCCACCCGUAUAUUGUAUAUAUUUUCCCAUAUGCAUUUGUACACCUAGGCCGCAUAUCCGUGCUUAUAAAUCUUACUAUCUCACCAGAGAUGGCCUUUUAACGAGCAUCAAGACUCCUGAGGAUUAAUGUGGCAAAAAGUAGGCAGUGAGAUGAGGUUGUACAUUUGACGUUCCCGUUGUUUCUGGUGCCUCCCAAUGCUUGACUUUGGUGGCAAGCGAGCAGGUGAGUCUUCAGAUUUGUAGUCGUUAUACAGUACGGCAGCGCUUUUUACAAAGUCUGCAAAUUGCCUUAUCCUUGUAGGUAACUUUGCAAAGAACCCCAAAUACUUCCACACCAAUCACAAGGCAGACUACUUCAAAUGGUCUAAUUCAGUCAUAGAUUGAAAAUUUAGAAAUUGAACAGGUCAUUACAAAAUUUUGAAUAAAUAGCUACAGUCCUAUUGGGGACUAUUUUCAGCCGCAGAUUAAUACAGAUUUGAUGCCGUAGUGAGUAUUUACAGCAGCAGGAUGGUGUAUUUGGGACUGAGUCAAAAUAAACUAUAGUACCACGUUCAUUAUGAAGGAGCACAGAAGCAGUUGCUAUGAUGUGGCUCAUUGACAUGUUUUUAAUAGUUUCUGGACAACAAUGAACACAGUGGCACAGAGGAAUAAUUUAUAUCAGGCUUUGGCUACACAGGCAGUACUUGCUAGUUAGUUCAUUACUGUUCUUUGUUGGUUUUGGUCUUUUAAUGGGAAUUGUUGACAGAAAUAUAUGAAAUAACCCAACGUUAAUACUUUCAUAAUUGUUGCAUCUGCACUAGCUCUCACUAAGGAGUAGUUUCAGUAAAUUACUGUAGUAAAAUAUUCAGCAUGUACCAAAACAGUUGUUUUUAAUUUAUCAUCUUAAUUAUAAGUUUCAGUUUGUGUGACAGUUCAUUUGAAAGCUGAAAAAUAUCCUGUGCCCAUUACAUUUGUAAUUAGCAGAGUCACUCUGUGUUGUUGGGUGUUGAUGUUUUUUAAAAGACUGGCUCAAAAGUAAUUAUACUGAUAGUUGUAUUGAGCACCAUUGAAAGUGGAGGAAAAAAAUUACGAAAAUACAGUUAAUGAUUUAAUUUCC